AUUGAACACUGGCGGCAUGCCUUACACAUGCAAGUCGAACGGUAACGCGGGGCAACCUGGCGACGAGUGGCGAACGGGUGAGUAAUGCAUCGGAACGUGCCCAGUAGUGGGGGAUAGCCCGGCGACGGCCGGAUUAAUACCGCAUACGACCUACGGGUGAAAGGGGGGGAUCGCAAGACCUCUCGCUAUUGGAGCGGCCGAUGUCAGAUUAGGUAGUUGGUGGGUGAAAGGCCUACCAAGCCGACGAUCUGUAGCUGGUCUGAGAGGACGACCAGCCACACUGUGGCUGAGACACGGCCCAGACUCCUACGGGAGGCAGCAGUGGGGAAUUUUGGACAAUGGGCGCAAGCCUGAUCCAGCCAUGCCGCGUGCGGGAAUAAGGCCUUCGGGUUGUAAACCGCUUUUGUCAGGGAAGAAAUCUUUUGAGCUAAUACCUCGGAAGGAUGACGGUACCUGAAGAAUAAGCACCGGCUAACUACGUGCCAGCAGCCGCCGUAACAC
rnacentral:rRNA from 1 species